UUUUGUUUUCAUACUACUUUUUAUUUUCUCAGCAUUGUCCUUUUUCCUCCCUGAAUACAUUUAAAUUAACAGCUCACACUCAUAUCUUCACGUUUGUCUGGCAUAUUCCUUCAUGUUUGACUUCCUUUCCGGAGUAACCGAUUGUCAGAGAAGAAAACAAUAAAAGGACCAAACCUACAAAGACUUUUAGUUUGGGGAGCAGGAAGAUGAAAACAAAAACAGAAAAUAACCAGGGAAGCAACUUGGAGAAUGUGAAGUCCGAUGUAUUAGUGG